UACGAACUGUGCGACCGUUAUUCGGAAUCACUGGGCUUACAGGGUGCGUAGGCGGCUUGUUAAGUAGGGUGUGAAAGCCCCCGGCUCAACCGGGGAAUUGCGCCCUAAACUGGCGAGCUGGAGUGAGAUAGGGGUGUGUGGAACUUCCGGUGGAGCGGUGAAAUGUGUUGAUAUCGGAAGGAACGCCGGUAGCGAAAGCGACACACUGGGUCUUGACUGACGCUGAGGCACGAAAGCCAGGGGAGCGAACGGG
rnacentral:rRNA from 1 species